CCUACGGGUGGCAGCAGUGGGGAAUAUUGCACAAUGGGGGAAACCCUGAUGCAGCGACGCCGCGUGAGUGAAGAAGUAUUUCGGUAUGUAAAGCUCUAUCAGCCGGGAAGAAAAUGACGGUACCUGAUUAAGAAGCCCCGGCUAACUACGUGCCAGCAGCCGCGGUAAUACGGAGGGGGCAAGCGUUAUCCGGAUUUACUGGGGGUAAAGGGAGCGUAGUGGGGUGCACAAGGCCGGCGUGAAAUGCCGGGGCUUAACCCCGGAAGUGCCUUGGAAACUGGGCAGCUAGAGUGCAGGGGAGGUAAGCGGAAUUCCCGGUGUAGCGGUGAAAUGCAUAGAUAUUGGGAGGAACCCCGAUGGCGAAGGCGGCUUGCUGGACUGUAACUGACGUUGAGGCUCGAAAGCGUGGGGAGCGAACAGGAUUAGAUACCCCUGUAGUC
rnacentral:rRNA from 1 species